rnacentral:rRNA from 1 species
GUUUGAUCAUGGCUCAGAACGUACGCUGGCGGCACGCCUAACACAUGCAAGUCGAACGAAGUAGCAAUACUUAGUGGCAGACGGGUGAGUAACAUGUAGGUAUCUGCCCUUUGGCCUGGAAUAACACGAGGAAACUUGUGCUAAUACCGGAUAAGUCUUUACGGAGAAAGCUUUAUGCACCAUUGGAUGAGCCUGCACUUGAUUAGUUUGUUGGUAGGGUAAUGGCCUACCAAGACUGUGAUCAAUAGCUGAUUUGAGAGGAUGAUCAGCCACAUUGGGACUGAGACACGGCCCAAACUCCUACGGGAGGCAGCAGUGGGGAAUCUUGCACAAUGGAGGAAACUCUGAUGCAGCGAUGCCGCGUGAGUGAAGAAGGCCUUUGGGUUGUAAAGCUCUUUCGUCGGGGAAGAAAAUGACUGUACCCGAAUAAGAAGGUCCGGCUAACUUCGUGCCAGCAGCCGCGGUAAUACGAAGGGACCUAGCGUAGUUCGGAAUUACUGGGCUUAAAGAGUUCGUAGGUGGUUGAAAAAGUUGGUGGUGAAAUCCCAGAGCUUAACUCUGGAACUGCCAUCAAAACUUUUCAGCUAGAGUUUGAUAGAGGAAAGCAGAAUUUCUAGUGUAGAGGUGAAAUUCGUAGAUAUUAGAAAGAAUACCAAUUGCGAAGGCAGCUUUCCUNGAUCAUUACUGA